GGGGAAUAUUGCACAAUGGGCGGAAGCCUGAUGCAGCGACGCCGCGUGGGGGAUGACGGCCUUCGGGUUGUAAACCUCUUUCAGCACCGACGAAGCGUGAGUGACGGUAGGUGCAGAAGAAGGUGCGGCCAACUACGUGCCAGCAGCCGCGGUGACACGUAGGCACCAAGCGUUGUCCGGAUUUAUUGGGCGUAAAGAGCUCGUAGGCGGUUCAGUAAGUCGGGUGUGAAAACUCUGGGCUUAACCCAGAGCCGCCACCCGAUACUGCUGUGACUUGAGUUCGGUAGGGGAGCAGGGAAUUCCUAGUGUAGCGGUGAAAUGCGCAGAUAUUAGGAGGAACACCGGUGGCGAAGGCGCUGCUCUGGGCCGAUACUGACGCUGAGGAGCGAAAGCGUGGGUAGCAAA
rnacentral:rRNA from 1 species